rnacentral:rRNA from 1 species
UACAGAGGGUGCGAACGUUGCUCGGAAUUACUGGGCGUAAAGCGCGUGUAGGCGGGCUCAUAAGCCAGAUGUGAAAUCCCCAGGCUCAACCUGGGAACUGCAUCUGGAACUGCGAGUCUUGAGUGCCGGAGAGGGUGGCAGAAUUCCUGGUGUAGAGGUGAAAUUCGUAGAUAUCAGGAGGAACACCGGUGGCGAAGGCGGCCACCUGGACGGCAACUGACGCUGAGACGCGAAAGCGUGGGGAGCAAACAGG